AGUAGCUUGCACCUUCAUCCGUAAAACCUUCUUCCCAUCCCCGAGGCAAGUCUGUAAUGAACGAGUGAAAGGUGUUUUGAAAGUUUUACGAUUGAAGCUUAUAUGUUUUACAACGUACAGAACACAGAUCUCCUCCAAUAAGUCAAUUGCAGUCUCUCUGUAGUCCACUAACAAAUGCGUACCUGAGCGUAUCAUGUGUCCGGAAUUGACAGGUUCGGCUGUUCGGGGAUGGAGCCAAGUAGUGGUGUGCGUUUCAUCGCUGACAGAGAGAGAAAAACACCUGUUACACUGCAAAAACUAGAUAGAUAGACUUCAGUUGAAGGCAGACAAGCGGCUGCUUGUCUGUCUGUCUCGGCAACGCAGAUAUAUUUAACUCACUUAACGAAAAAUACCCUGCCAUCUUUGCAGACACCGUAGGACCAGUGUUCAGGUAAGGUCGACGCGUCGAGACUUGUUAGCAAUAGGCUAGCACUUAUAACUUAAGGUGGAACCUUGGGAUGUUCACUUGGGAUGCACAAGAUGUGACAUAGGAUGGCGUAGCCUAUAUGGCAAACAACCUGUGUGGAAUUAUUCGUCAGGAAAAAUGAGGUCACCAUAAUGACUUGGCUAAGUAGUAGUUAGGCCAAGUAGUGCCUCAUUAUAAGGGCUUGUGUCAGCUCGUCCUGAAAUGGCAGUGGAGUUUCCAUUUGACCGUUUUGGACACAACACCAACAACAUGCCAUUUUAAAUGGCAUUAAAUCAUUUUUAAAAAGUGUUUAGCCUAACAUUGUCUGUCAGUGUUGACUGGGAGUUUAAAGGAACAGCCCAGACCAUUUGAUUCUGUAGUCACCUCUGCUCCCACCUCUCAUAUGCUAAAAUCUGGAGUUGCUGGACAGUAUAGGUAUUUGCUUGAUGGCUCUCACACCUCAUUGUGACUUAAUGUUGCAUUGGUUGUGAUAUGUUGAUAAGUAAGGGUCAAUGUGUAGUCUGAUUGGUUGUUCUACAGAUAAUCGUUGUAUAUAAAAGGGAGUGAGAAUAGUUGUUCUCUAGAUUCUUCAUCUCCUGAGGCCUUCUCCUCAGCUUCUACUUCACCUCCACAAUUCCAACAGAGCAUCUUCGUUUGAGUAAACGGAUAGAGUGGGUUGGGAUGAGAGA